rnacentral:rRNA from 1 species
UACGAAGGUCCCAAGCGUUAUCCGGAUUUAUUGGGUUUAAAGGGUGCGUAGGCGGCCCGGUAAGUCAGUGGUGAAAGCCUCCAGCUCAACUGGAGAACUGCCAUUGAUACUGCCGGGCUUGAGUACAGACGAGGUUGGCGGAAUUGAUUGUGUAGCGGUGAAAUGCAUAGAUACAAUCAAGAACUCCGAUUGCGUAGGCAGCUAACUAGGCUGUAACUGACGCUGAGGCACGAAAGCGUGGGGAGCGAACAGG